rnacentral:rRNA from 1 species
UGGGGAAUAUUGCACAAUGGGGGAAACCCUGAUGCAGCCAUGCCGCGUGUGUGAAGAAGGCCUUCGGUUGUAAGCACUUCUAGCGAGGAGGAAAGGGUUAGGGUAGGCUAAUAAACUAGCCAGCUGUGACGUUACUCGCAGAAGAAGCACCGGCUAACUCCGUGCCAGCAGCCGCGGUAAUACGGAGGGUGCAAGCGUUAAUCGGAAUUACUGGGCGUAAAGCGCACGCAGGCGGUUGGAUAAGUUAGAUGUGAAAGCCCCGGGCUCAACCUGGGAAUUGCAUUUAAAACUGUCCAGCUAGAGUCUUGUAGAGGGGGGUAGAAUUCCAGGUGUAGCGGUGAAAUGCGUAGAGAUCUGGAGGGAAUACCGGUGGCGAAGGCGGCCCCCCUGGACAAAGACUGACGCUCAGGUGCGAAAGCGUGGGGAGCAAACAGGAUUAGAUACCCUCUGAGACUCCCAAGGCACACAGGGGAUA